GACUCAAGGGAUCCCUCCCACCUCAGCCACCCAAAGUGCUGAGAUUACAGGUUGAUUCUGUUAUACAUAUACAGAAUAACUACAGUAAAAAACAGCAAUCAAGUCUGAACAGGAAAUCUCUGGACAAAGAGAAAAAUACUACCUUUAUAGACUGUGACUGUCAUUAAAAUACAGGACAAGGGAUUAUGGCAAUAUUAGUGGCACCGAUUAGUGAAAUGAUUCUAGGGGGAAAUGUCAGAAGAUUUUCUAAAGAACAUAUACUGAGCAGAUGACCAGUGACUGAAUAAUUGCCCUUUCUGGCCGCAAAGAUGAGUUGCUGCGCCGGGCGCGGUGGCUCACGCCUGUCAUCCCAGCACUUUGGGAUGCUGAGGCGGGCGGAUCAUGAGGUCAAGAGAUCGAGACCAUUCUGGCCAACAUGGUGAAA